rnacentral:rRNA from 1 species
UACAGAGGGUGCGAGCGUUAAUCGGAAUUACUGGGCGUAAAGGGUGUGUAGGUGGUUGUGUAAGUUAGAUGUGAAAUCCCCGGGCUCAACCUGGGAACUGCGUUUAAGACUGCAUAACUAGAGUACUGUAGAGGAUAGUGGAAUUUCCAGUGUAGCGGUGAAAUGCGUAGAUAUUGGAAGGAACACCAGUGGCGAAGGCGACUAUCUGGACAGAUACUGACACUGAGACACGAAAGCAUGGGGAGCAAAC